UACGUAGGGUGCAAGCGUUGUCCGGAAUUAUUGGGUGUAAAGAGCUCGUAGGCGGUUUGUCGCGUCUGCUGUGAAAACGCGAGGCUCAACCUCGCGCCUGCAGUGGGUACGGGCAGACUAGAGUGCGGUAGGGGAGAUUGGAAUUCCUGGUGUAGCGGUGGAAUGCGCAGAUAUCAGGAAGAACACCCGUGGCGAAGGCGGCUCUCUGGGACGGUACUGACGCUGAGACGCGAAAGCGUGGGGAGCGAACAGG
rnacentral:rRNA from 1 species